AUGUUCUAAGAGACGUUACGUGUCGUAAUGUUGUUGAUCGAACUAAAUAAUACAAAAAGAAAAAAAAAAUCCUCUAAACUCGAUUUCUUUUCCUCUCUCUCUUUCUCUUGCGAUUGAAUACCCGAAACGACGAAAGAAUUUGGAAUUAGAAGGCAGAGAAACAUUGAAAGAGAAUCAUCUUGAUUCUGUGGCGGUGACGCUGAAGGAGAAGAGUAGAGAGGUUGAGAGGUAAAAGAUAAGGUUUGGAGGAUUGUUUAUCAAACAGCAGCUCUAGAAGACAAUGUCUCUCCUUUACAUGAGCGAGAAGCUCUAUCUUCUUGAUGUUGGAUAAUACAUAAGUGGGCAAUUCGUGCUUGUAUAUAAUAUAUAUAUGCACCUUCUUUUAUCUCUUGAUGGAUGUUUUGGUUUCAUAGAUGCAACUAUGCAAGUCCAUUGCAGACAAAAUCACAAAGGACUGAUCUUGUUGGUGAGCCAGAACUAGCUUCAUUGAUGCAGCUGAUAAAGGUAGGUUCUCCUUCUUUUGAUUAUUGUUUUCUCCUUGAAUAUCUAUUUAUUCUCUUUGCUCUGUGUUUAACAUUUAUGCUAUGGUUAUUGUCUCCAUUUAUGAAUUGCACUUCUAUUGUAAUAUGUAUUAAUGUUUUUAUUA